AGGAGACAAGGAGGGAGGGAAGAGGGAUGCUGCAUUUUAGUGAUAGCACAGACUGAGACUGCAGGAGCAGACAGGGGGACGGAGAGAAUCGAUGAGAGAGGUAGAAAUUAAGAGAGAGGAGCGGAGCAUUGUCUGAGAGAGCAUGACAGGAUUCCCACACAGACUGUGACAAACCUGUACUUGAAGAAGCAGCAGAAGGGGGGAAAUGGGAGCAAACUUGCAUCACUGACCACAGCAAGUGAAAAGACACCUCUGUUUCAGAAGAGGAGAGAAGAAACCACCUGUAAUCAUGCUGUCCUUCCAUCUGUCUCAACAAGAUGCAGAUGUCUCAUUUCGUUGUCUGGGACAAAAGAGAACUGCUGAAUGGAUCCUAAUGUGCUGUUAGAGACAGGAGUAAAAAAAAACAACUAGCAAGCUUCUGGGAGGAAAAGGGAGGAGAGAGCAGUAUGAGUCAGAGCACAGCAGCUAGAAUAGUGUGUAUUCGGCAUGCAAGAGGAGAGGUAGAGGGAGAUAGAGGAACAAUGAGAGAUAUAUAGGGGGGAAAUACAGAGGACUUGACCAGAAUUGAGCAGUCAUUACACAGAAGAAGGACAGGAGGAGACCGAAGCAGCCACACUGUCAGGAGGAUCUAAGAUAUAGGCCAAGUGAAUCAGCUUGCUAGAGGGAGACGAAGGCAAGUUUACAAAGUGAAGGUUUCAUACGACUGAAGAGGAUUUGAGGGAAGGUUAAUUGAAGGUUUGCUGCAGGGUGGAGAGUGGACAGAAAACAGUGAAGAACAGAAGGACAGGCUUAAUGAAAAUGUGAGCAGCUACAGGGGAUAAAGUCCUGAGUGACUGUGUCUUACUACAAGGAGGGGACAUUACUGAGGUUUGCAUAUGGCAGGACAAGCUUCAAGAAGGUUGACAAAUUGAUAGAGAGAAGAGCAAAAAAAAAAAAAAAAAAAAAAAGAGUAGAACACACCAAUAAAAGAAGAACAUAGCGACGACGCGGCAUGGAAACUUUAACUCUGAUAGCAACACAGCAAGAGUUUCCUGUUAAAUAUUGAUGCGGACACCCCACUCUGGAAAGAACUCACUCCUUGCACCACGGAGGGGGAAACAGAAGGAAAAAACACUUGCUUUUUUAAUUCUAAGGGAUUUUUACACUGGAAUAGACAAGCUGUUAAGUGUGUCAGAUGACAGCCAAGUUGGGUUAAGUUCAAAUGUUGCUACAAACUAAGACAAGACAUACAAAUCUUGGGCCAGCUGUGCAAGUUCUCUGGGAGAGUGGAAUAACUACAGAGAGAGGAACUGGACCUUCAUCUUGUGUUGGAACAACAAGGAAGAAGGAAAUUAACAUUGGAGAGAUCACUAAGACUACAUCAGGACCAGAACAAUUUCUUCUUUUCUAUGAGAACCAGCUAUGGCUGAUGAAUGCAGAUCCGUUUUGGAUUGACAUGCUGUACAUGCUUUGACAGUCACUCUGGGGCUACAUCACUGCCAGAUGAGAGAAGCCAAACGCUGCUGAAGCAUUCACAAAUGUUUCCUAUUUUUAUUUUGUCCUGGACUGAUUGGAACUGUUCCAACUGUCUCUGAAAAUGACCUCAUUACAGAGAUUUGGCCAGUGGAGGAUUUCUGUCAUGGCUUGAGGAAAUGUAAGUGUGGAAAUGCUUUAAUGUGCAUCAACACACAGCAUCCUUAAUUGGAAGCAGAGUGUAUACUUCAUGUUUCGUCUCCAUAACUACAUAAGGACAAUUCUCCAACUUAAUUUAACCAAGAAAUUAAGAUAGAGACUUCCUUCGGUCUGACCUGAAUUACAGAUUCCUCAAAACAUCACAACAGUAACGCAGGAGGACACAACGCCACAGACUCCAUUCAGCUGCAGAUAUACCAGCUGAGUUUUUAUAUGUGUGUGUGUGGAGGGCUAUAAGGACUGUCACAAAGCUCAGCUGUGUUUGUGUGUAUGCUUGUGUGGGUGUAGAGGUGUAUGUGAGCCCAGCUGUGUCUAAGUGUAUUUUCAAAGCGUCCCCCGGAGCUGUGUGUGUGUGUGUGUGUGUGUGUGUGUGUGUGUGUGUGUGUGUGUGUGUGUGUGUGUGUGUGUGUGUGUGUUGCCUGGAUUCUCCCCACCAGCGACAGAGCUGGACCUGAACAGCAGUGGUGAGAGGGGGGACAGGGAGGGGGAGGAGGAGGAGAAGAGAGAGGUGAAAGAAACCAACAGGGCGGAGGAGAAGAAAAAACUGACAACAUGCUCGGAUAAAGACAAGAAAGAAGGGAGUUUUUGGCUGCCCCCCUGGUGCAAUGUGUGGCGUGGUGCCCUGUGGGGGUGGGGUUCUGUGAUGGUAACCAUGGUCCCCGGCAGCCGCUAUGUCUGCAGCGCUCACGCUAGAGAGGAAGACACCACGAACGACCGUGAGGAGCGAAUUUUAGCCGUGCUGGGCAUCAUUGGUACCAUCCUCAAUCUUUUAGUGGUCAUAUUUGUCUACAUCUACACCUCCGUCACCUAAGGUUUUCUGCAAGAAUUUGAACGAGCGACGUUGGCACUGUCCCUAACUUUUCUCCGUACUGUCACCCUCCUCCUCUUUAAGUAUUUAUAUACCUAAGAGGGUUUGAGUAUUCAGAUUGAGCAGUAAGAUGUGAAGAUCCUUGGCAGUGUGUUCAGCUGGAUAGUAGCCAUAUUUAUCUACACCUGCAUCACUGCUUAUCCCUUAACACAGCUUUACUCUGUUAGCAAAAAACUACUGCCAAUCACAGGGAAGAAGUUGCAGGUGGGAUCAUCUGCACUUUCCUCCAAUUAAUGAAACUGCGUCUUCAAGACAAUUCCACACAACCACUCAUGUCACAUGACACUAUGUCCAGUCUAGUAAUGGGCAUCUGUAUUCAUAUGACUGGGGCAAAGCAUUUCUGUGACUGCUCAGACAAGUGUCGUUGAUCUAAUGGUGGUCCUAUUUGACUGUGUUGCAUCUUCCUCUUUGUCACAUAACAUGUAAAGUGUGUCUUUAAACAAUCAAACUCCUUUGUGACAUUUAAGAUAUCACUGCUCGUUCAUUUUAUCUAAAUGGUUAGACAACGAAGGCACCUUUGAGUUAACUUGACCAAACUAUUGGAUAGGGAAAGAUGUGGUACGCCAUUAAAACUAUUAAAAGAGACCAACAUUGCCAAGUGAAUAUUAAUGGAGGAACCCAUAGGCCUAUCUACUUCUGAGCACCCUUAAAUCUACUUGAAUAGAACAUUUAUACAAAUAUACAGAGUAUUACUCACCCAUUGCUAAAUACUAGUUUAUGUAGGUAGUAGAUGGACUGAAAAAGAUUUACAUGGACCUAACGUGUCCACACCUGAGCACACCAGAGGAGAGAUUCCUGGCUGUGCUGGGAGUCAUCGGCAUCAUACUCAACCUCCUGCUGCUCGUCUUUGUCUAUAUAUACACCUCCAUCUGAUAUAUUUGCCUGAACACAGUAUCAGCUAUUAGAUUAUCCUGCCACACCUAACAGCCCCUGUACCUUAGACUGUUCUUCAACCACAACUGUAUAUAAUUGUACCUAAAUACAACCUGGUACAAAGCCGAUUUGGGGAUUAUGUGAUAUUCUAGGCAGCUUUACGUGCCUAUUAAUAUUCAAUAAUAUUCAAUAACCAAUAAUAGUGGCAACAUGCACAUGAACAGAAGGUGAUGAGAGAAUUGAGAGGCCAAAGCAGUGCCACGGACUGCCACAGACUAAUUUAUAAUAAGUUCUUAAUAAGAAGAACUUGCUUUUUUUUGUAUUUGUGUUUUAGUAGAGUUGGUGUUUUUGUAGAUACAGUGCUCUUUCACAUAUGUGCAUGAUGAGAUGUUUACUCAAGCUUCUAAUAUUAUUAUCUACAUCAUGAUUUGACCAAAAUACCUGACGUAAAGACUGCCAUUUCUUACCGUAAAUCUGUUAGUUCUACAUGUUUAUUGAUGGUGAAAACACUCAUGGCACUGAAUGGUGUUGAUGUUCCAGUCUGUGCAGCGGCUCUGCACACCAUCAAAGAUCCCUCUGUGGAAGGUCGGUACAGCGGGAUAAUGGUCCAUUUUCUGGUGCCAUGUGUGAUUCUGAUCUGUGAUUGGAUCUGUAAGCCACGUGCAGCGCUGCAUCAGAGAGGGCAAAGCGUGGAACUGAGACAAUGUUGCACAAAUCAAGACAGUGGCCUGUUGCGGUGCAACACAAAGGACUGCAACAGUAAAGAAAGAAUCAGGUUGAACCAGUGUGGAUUGUCUGAAAAAAGAGGAUAUAAAACCUCUGUACAAGGCUUCACCAUCCGUCUCAAAACUCAUUUAAGCACAAAAACCUCCCAGGGAUUGGGUUACAACAUUUCCUAUGAAGCUGCAUGUCACUCUGGAUAUGAUUUUAGGUCUAAGCACUGUGCCUCUGAUGGAGGAGCAAAUCUGAAUGCAGCUGAAACGCGAGCAGAGAGGACUGGCCUGAAUCUACACUUCAUCCUUGUUAUUCUCUUUUCCACCAACAAGCUAACGCCAGAGAAGACAUAGUACCUGAGAGGACCCGCAUGUGUCUCUGCUGUCUUUUCCCACACCACAAAAUCAUGGAUAUAUAUACACACGCACAGACUUAAUUUCAUUCACCAUCAGUCAGACGUUCUGAGGGUGAAGACAAAUCCCCGGACCAAAGGACCCCAGAAACAGAACAACCAGCAACUUCAACUCACUUUACAAUUUCACAAGUUGGCUUGUAAGAAUAAGUACUGAGAUUUUGAUAAUCAUAUAAGAUUCCUCCUUACGUAGUGUAUGUAUGCUCUUAGUAUCUGUUUAACAUUAAGUGUUUUAUUUGGACAGGUUUGCAAGCAAAGUCAAAAGCAACAAUGUUUGGUAUGAAGCUCAACAAAUAUAAAUGGUUCUGUUACAUUUUUAUGAAGUGUAGAAUAGUACAGAUAAGUAUUCCCAUGGUCAUGGCUACAGAAUGCUGGAUGAACAAGUGACGGCAAUUUUCCUGCAUGAAUAAUUAGCUUUUACUAAGAACUAUUAGUUGCUUUGUUGAGUUGUAAAACAGCAAAGAGGACAUAUCAAAAGGGUACAUAUUUUAAUUACCUUACCAUCUCACACACUUGUACUUCUUCACUUGAGGACCCUUAUCGACAAAUUGCAUUAGCCCCUAUCCCUAACCUUAACACAACAUGCUUCAUCCCAAAACUGUACAGUAACGUUAACCUGAAACUAAUUCUGGAAAUCCCCCCAAAAAAUAAUCAUUUCUAUUGAUUAUGUUAACAUUGUACUCACCUAAGUAAUUGCUGAGAUCUGGGGACUCGUGGCAUUACAAAAAAUAGAUAUCCAACAAAUCAAAAUACACAAGGUUAGUCAAACUUAUUCGGAAGAGAAAAUGAAGGCAAACUUUCAACAUUAAUACCCAAGCUGUCUGUUUAGCUGACAACUUCCUGGUUCAGCUUUGACCUACCAUAUUGUCUGUAGUUAUGCACACUCAAGAUUUCACUAUGCAGUGAGAGAUUAUUAGCAGCAUUACGGGUUUACUCACUUUUGAUUCUAUCUUCAAAUUAAGAUAAUCUGGCAAAAACAUUGGCUUGUUUACAACCUGUAUGAUUAUCUGACCGCUACUGUUUGCCGCCCCUUGAACUUAGUUUUAGCUUUGCCACAUUCUGAGAUCUUAACAAUUUCUUCAGAGUACUUAAACUAAAAAAAUAAAACCCAAAGUGUAAUAAACCAUUAUUUUUAUUCAACCCUAAAACUUUAAACCUUAACUAUUUGAAGUGAGAACCAGCCAAAAUACAUUCUCACUCUCAAUACCUAGACUCAAACUGGUCCACACACACACACACACACACACACACACACACACACACACACACACACUUGCUACUUGCAUCUCUCUUCAUGAGUUUAAUUUUACACCAUCUUUCAGCACACAUCAGGCGAUCCGCCGGUUAGCACGCUGAGAUCAGUGUGACUGGCAAAUGUAUUUCCUGUCACAUCCAAUAAGUGUACUGUGGAGUUUGUUGAGCUAAAUCCAUUUUGGGAGUGCUCCAAACCCCAGAGUAAGCCACCUUUAGUUUGCCAGACAUGUGCUGUCAGACUGUAGCAGUCAAAGACACAGCUGUGCAGAAACUAUAAAAGAAAAAGUGUUUAUUCACUUUUUAAUAAGGCACAUUUUAAUAAAUGACUUAGUAAGUAUUAAGUAAUGUCUGCAUUUCACUUUAAUAAAUCCUUUACUAUCAUUUACUAAUGCAAUAUGCCUUACUAAAAAAUGAGAAUCCCAUGAACAUUUAUUUAAUGAUUACUAACAUUACCAACUAUAUUAAUAACAAAUAGAAAGAAUAAACACCAGCUAACAUUCCUCAUGAAAGUUUUCAAAUUCAUCAAUAAAGCAAUAGUAAAUUAUUUAUCAACCAUUACAGAAUUUAUGUUUAGACUGCUAUGUAAACUGUAAAUUUUCUAAAAUAUGUGAAGAAUAAAACAAUUGAAAGACAUUUAUUUUGUAAAUAUAUUUUUAAAAACUAUGAGGCAGACUGAACCAUCUUAUACAACCAAUGUUAUGUAUUGAGCCUUUAGUAUAUAUAGUAAAUGACAUUUGCAAAAUAAUAAUAUAUAUAGAAUCAUAAUCAUUGCAGAUUUAUAGUCUUUAUUAUAGUUUUCUGCCUUGGUUAGGGAGGAACCUCCAUCAUGUCAGCAGUCAACAGCAUGGACUGAUAUUAGAUAAAAGUCUAGGAUUUGUCUACAGUAGCUUUUGAUGAGUCGACCUAACUCCAUGGCUACAAUACAUGUUAUUGUGUGUGCUGCAUGCAGUUCAAGUUUUCGGUUGAGACCAGUUUUAACAGACUCACUGCCAAGCAGGCCAAUGAGAGGAGAGAAAGCCUAGAGGGUGAGUGCCGGCCAUCUGCUGUCCCAGUAGACAUUCAGCCACCUCCUCAAAAUACAA